rnacentral:rRNA from 1 species
GAUGAACGCUGGCGGCGUGCCUAAUACAUGCAAGUAGAACGCUGAAGCUUGGUGCUUGCACCGAGCGGAUGAGUUGCAAACGGGUGAGUAACGCGUAGGUAACCUGCCUCUUAGCGGGGGAUAACUAUUGGAAACGAUAGCUAAUACCGCAUAAAAGUUGACAUUGCAUGAUGUUGAUUUGAAAGAUGCAAUUGCAUCACUAAGAGAUGGACCUGCGUUGUAUUAGCUAGUUGGUGAAGUAACGGCUCACCAAGGCGACGAUACAUAGCCGACCUGAGAGGGUGAUCGGCCACACUGGGACUGAGACACGGCCCAGACUCCUACGGGAGGCAGCAGUAGGGAAUCUUCGGCAAUGGACGGAAGUCUGACCGAGCAACGCCGCGUGAGUGAAGAAGGUUUUCGGAUCGUAAAGCUCUGUUGUAAGAGAAGAACGAGUGUGAGAGUGGAAAGUUCACACUGUGACGGUAACUGACCAGAAAGGGACGGCUAACUACGUG